rnacentral:lncRNA from 1 species
AUUAUUCAAGCUAAUCUUUGUCAUAGCUGGGUUUGAACAAUUGGAGAAAAACAAUAAUUGUGAUGUUAAUCCUCGCCACUCUUUGCAAACAAGAAAAGAGCUACUCAGACAAGUGGUUUACUUUGGAAAUUGCACCAGAUUUUGAAAGACUCCUAACAACAAUACGAAAAGACUCCUUUGAUUAACACACCAUGAUGUUUGCUCUUCUUACCUGGCUGGUUUCCAAAGAAAGGAAUAUCAUCUGUGUAUCUCCCUGAUGAUGACGGCGUACAGUUUCCAUUGCUUUCCAAUUCUUCCUUUGCAUUUUGCAACACAUUGACAAGAUCCUGUUGAUCCUCUGGGUGAAUGUAGCCAAACAUGCUGCUUCCUGUCAGUUCAACCUGAAGAAGGAAAGGGAAAAGAUGCACACUUUUAAGUGUGUCUGUCAGACACCAACCUGUGACAGUCCAAGAUGAACAGACACAGUCUCUGAAACAUAGAGGACUUUUGCAUCGCUGGAAAGAACAAACAGGAAUCCAUCCAAUGCCUAAUGAAGAAUAAAACAUGAUAAGCACAGACAAGGAAAUCUACCAAUGAAGAAAUUGAUGAAGAAAAAAAAAAGGAAUAUUCUUUGAAGAUACAAGAGGUACUAGCAACAGCUGGUGGAGAAGAAAUGGAGGAGGGUGGAGAUGGACUCUCUGUAUGAAGUUCUAGAAGGAAAAAAUAUAACACAAACAACCUGUGCAACAAUCACUGCUUGUAGAGAAUAAAUCAAAAUAACUUGGCCUUGGGAUAUCAAACAAAUUAAAGCAAGGAGAUGACAGUGUGUAGAAACAGAUGCUUCUCAGAGGAGCUGACCGCGUGGAAUUGACUCGAUCCAUCUAAAACUGAUCAUUAAACAAUGACUACCUCUUGAUACCAAGAAGCUAUGAAAACUCAAUUCUGAGGUUAAGGAAAAAAAGGAUAACUAUCAUUGGUAGAGAAAUCUGUUUUGGUUUGCCUCGCCUUGCCUUGGAUUACUGUGCACAAACUCAAUCUUCAGUGUCACCUAGAAACAAUGUUCCCUGUCUUUGUUCAGUAAAGUUAGAUGUUAUAUGUUACUUAUUAACAACAACAGUUGUUUGCCUCACAGGGAAAUUAGCAGCUGAAGCGCAAAUGGAUAAUCCUUUGAGGCUUUUGCUAUGGUUUCCUUCAAGGAAUAUUUGUGGAAGUGACUGUCCCAUGUUUCUUAGACAAGAGUCUUGAGACUUCAAGUCACAAGAACACUGCUUUGCUCAUACUUCCCAGUAAAUUUAAGAAAACAGAAACAAUACAGCUUGGUUUUCUGAUGUGUUCAAAAUUAUUAUAUUUGUAUCACUUUCUGUUCAGUUAACAUGAAACUAGGGUUUCAAUAACUUUUUUCAUAUGCGACUGCCUAUGGUGUAAUAUACUGCUGUGCCAUAAGGCAAAACCCAAUUACAAAAGCCAACUUGCAAGUAAAGAGACGGCGGAGAGAUCUUGUGGGCGGCGGCACACCACAGAUAACCAGCUUUUAUUGAAAUCAUUGUUGAUACCAUAAACACCAUUUUUUAUGCAUGAUUCUGCUAUGUAGAUACACAAUAUAAAAUGUAGUAAACCUUGAGGAAGCAAUACAUGUUAGCUGGCGAAUUUACAGAUAAACAAGAGGAAAUAUCAAUUUCUUUCAAUUGUAAAAAUUUUUUAUGUUAUUAUGAUAUAAGUAUGGUUGAUAUCAAGCAAGAUACAUUGUGACAUCUUUAAUUUUAUUUGUCAUGCAGACAAAACUCUUUGCGUGCUGCUUGUGUGAAAACCUGGUGGAGAUUACAAAUCUUCUAAUUUCCCGCCUAUUAAAGGAGGCUUACACAGACAAGCGACUUUGUCUGAAAGAUAUGCAUAUUACUUAACUGUCUGAAAGUGCUGCCAUAAAACUUGAAGAUACUGUUAGGCAAAACCAAGAAGCUUUUCAUGAUGGAAGGGAAUAAUUUUUUCCUCUAUGAUGCAAAAAACACCCCAUGAUUCUGUCACAACAGGAUGUAACACUGUAAAAAUGAGAAUCUAGACGCA